UUCGACCAGUCUUUUGAGUUGAAAUAUGUUGAUCCGUGGAAGCAACAGCUGGGUCUUAUGGCUCUUUUCACUCUGUCUUAUCUGUUGAGUAACAAAGGACUUGAAUUUCCAAGGACUUUUUUUUUUUUUCAGCCUUAGCAAGAAAAGAAAGAAAAAAAAAUCAGGAAAAGAAGGCUUUUGGGAACAUACGCCAUUUGUUAUUUUGAGCAAGUAGGUCUUCUUUAGAAGUCUUCCAAGAAGGUAAAGAUGACUUUCCAAAAGAAGGAAAAUUACUUAGCAUCUUCCACAUUUCAGGGAUGUAGCAGAAUUUGAUGAAGAGCAAAAGAUGUCUUUGCUGGGAGAGUCCAUCUUUAGGUCUACUGAUACAUCAGCAAAGCCUGGGAAACCUCAUGUUUUGGUCAGCUAUUGCCGCAACGGUGCUGCAUAACAAGCUCCACGACUACAGAGCUGAACGGCACAGAGUCUCUUCUUACAUUGAUGGAUUAACUUCCAUCAGAUGCUAAAGACUUUUUGGAUGCUCAAGGAGACAGGAGACUAGUGUGGGCUAGAGAACAAAGAGGUAACAGCCUUCCCUCCAAUAUAAUGAAAUGGCUUUUCAUUUCUUCUUUGAGGCCUCAAAAUUAUAAGGUAAGUAGAUUUUUUUUUUGCAGAAUGGCUGCAUUAGGAUCAUCAAGUCCUAAGCAUCUCUCUGUGAAUACAGCAGCUGUAUUCUAAGUGGGGCAAGGCAUGGCCCAUCCUCUACUUUAGAAUCUUGGGGGCCUUUAUGGAAGCUUCAUCAUGUAGGCAAGGUCCACUAUUAACUCAGUCUCUAGCCCCUCUUCCCU
rnacentral:lncRNA from 1 species